rnacentral:rRNA from 1 species
GAUGAACGCUGGCGGCGUGCCUAACACAUGCAAGUCGAGCGAAGCACUUUGCUUAGAUUCUUCGGAUGAAGAGGAUUGUGACUGAGCGGCGGACGGGUGAGUAACGCGUGGGUAACCUGCCUCAUACAGGGGGAUAACAGUUAGAAAUGACUGCUAAUACCGCAUAAGACCACAGCACCGCAUGGUGCGGGGGUAAAAACUCCGGUGGUAUGAGAUGGACCCGCGUCUGAUUAGCUAGUUGGUAAGGUAACGGCUUACCAAGGCGACGAUCAGUAGCCGACCUGAGAGGGUGACCGGCCACAUUGGGACUGAGACACGGCCCAAACUCCUACGGGAGGCAGCAGUGGGGAAUAUUGCACAAUGGGGGAAACCCUGAUGCAGCGACGCCGCGUGAGCGAAGAAGUAUUUCGGUAUGUAAAGCUCUAUCAGCAGGGAAGAAAAUGACGGUACCUGACUAAGAAGCACCGGCUAAAUACGUGCCAGCAGCCGCGGUAAUACGUAUGGUGCAAGCGUUAUCCGGAUUUACUGGGUGUAAAGGGAGCGUAGACGGAUGGGCAAGUCUGAUGUGAAAACCCGGGGCUCAACCCCGGGACUGCAUUGGAAACUGUUCAUCUAGAGUGCUGGAGAGGUAAGUGGAAUUCCUAGUGUAGCGGUGAAAUGCGUAGAUAUUAGGAGGAACACCAGUGGCGAAG